AUGGCGCUGGAGCCCUGCGGUACAUUACAUAGAUUCACCGACGAAAAAUACACGAAUCGCGCGGAUCAAAGAAAUUUGUUCUUUAGCUCUAAAAGAUUUUUACAGAGUUACACUAAAGAUGGAGAUUGUUCUAGACGACAUGGAUCCAGAACCCAUCAAGACUGAACACGACGAUCCUGAGGGGAAAAGUGAUCGUGAGGAGGACAGUGAAGGUCUCACUGUGGUGAAGGUAGAACAAAGUGAAGAAAAAUUCCAGACUGACAACAACAGUUCCUCACAAAGCAAAAAGAAGCAGAAAAGACCUUGCAAUGAAGAAAAGCCUUAUUCAUGCCUUUUGUGUAAAAAGACAUUCAAGAGUUUGUCCAGUCUGGAUUAUCACAUGCCCCUUCACUCUGGAGAAAGGCCGUUUGAUUGUGAUAAAUGUGGCAAAAAAUUUGUUUCAUUAAAUGCUCUGGAGUCACACGUGACAAAUCAUGAACGCCCUUGCUUGUGUCCUGUAUGUGGCAAGGCGUUUUCACGAGAAGACCAAUUAAGAGUUCACCAGACAAUUCAUACUGGCGUAAAAGAUUACGUGUGUCAGGUGUGUGAUAAGGGCUUUCGAUUGGCCAG